CAUAGAUGACGUCCCCGUCAUAGCUGACGAUGGAGCAGCGUGCCAGCUCGCUCUGCCUGCCCCGCGGGCCCGUGCCCACCAUCUCGCAGUCAAUGGCCACAUACUUGUUGGGACGUGGCGGGCAAAGCUGGACCCCCGUCACGGCGUUACCCACGGACGUCCCGCAGCAGCGGCCCACGAUGUCGUUCGGGGAGGCGGAUGGGGACACGGAGAGCCCCAGCUUGGAGACCUUCCAGCCGCGUGGUGUCACACUGCUGGGGCUGGGGGGCCCGGCGGGACCGUGGGUGCGCUUUGGGGUGGGCGCAGAGGCUUUGGGGAGCAACAGCGGGGUCAUUUGGC
rnacentral:lncRNA from 1 species